rnacentral:rRNA from 1 species
CAGCCGCCGCGGUAAUACGGAGGGAGCUAGCGUUGUUCGGAAUUACUGGGCGUAAAGCGCGCGUAGGCGGUUACUCAAGUCAGAGGUGAAAGCCCGGGGCUCAACCCCGGAACUGCCUUUGAAACUAGGUAACUAGAAUCUUGGAGAGGUCAGUGGAAUUCCGAGUGUAGAGGUGAAAUUCGUAGAUAUUCGGAAGAACACCAGUGGCGAAGGCGACUGACUGGACAAGUAUUGACGCUGAGGUGCGAAAGCGUGGGGAGCAAACAGGAUUAGAGACCCCUUUAGUCCCUGUCUCUUAUAC